rnacentral:misc_RNA from 1 species
CAAGUUCUCAACCACAUCAAUUUCAAUGUGGCUUGGAUGGUGGGGGUUCUUUUUGCAGGCUUCUGUAAAUAUGAAGUCGGCUCCCCUGAAAUGUAUUAGUGGUAUCUGAGCUACUACAGGUGUGAUAACUAUCUAUGCCUUGGUAUGCUGCAUGAAACAGAUUGCGCCGCUUCUAACAAGUGGGAAACACAAUUUUGAUGA